UACGUAGGGUCCGAGCGUUGUCCGGAAUUACUGGGCGUAAAGAGCUCGUAGGUGGUUUGUCGCGUUGUUCGUGAAAACUCACAGCUCAACUGUGGGCGUGCGGGCGAUACGGGCAGACUGGAGUACUGCAGGGGAGACUGGAAUUCCUGGUGUAGCGGUGGAAUGCGCAGAUAUCAGGAGGAACACCGGUGGCGAAGGCGGGUCUCUGGGCCGAAAUUGACGCUGAGGAGCGAAAGCGUGGGGAGCGAACGGG
rnacentral:rRNA from 1 species